CAGGAUGUGCCUAAUCACGGUUUCCGUCCUGGCAUGAAGCUGGAGGCAGUUGACCUCAUGGAGCCCCGGCUCGUCUGUGUCGCCACAGUGACCCGCAUCGUCCACCGCUUGCUACGGAUACAUUUUGACGGCUGGGAGGAUGAGUACGAUCAGUGGGUGGACUGUGAGUCACCUGAUCUGUACCCAGUCGGCUGGUGUCAGCUGACUGGGUACCAGCUACAGCCACCAGCUGUCAGCACAGGUAACACACACACAGUCAGCUGAGCUGUAUUUUCUGUCAUGGGGAUAACUCUGUGAAGGUUAAAAUGAUUGGUUUGAAUGGUUUCAGGCUCCAGAGAUCUGCAUUCAGCAGCAUCCAAACAGAGGAAGAAAUCACAGCAGUACAAGGGACAAAAGAAAAAGAGGAAGUUGCCCGUCGCCAAGCGACCUGUCAGUCUCUCUGGUGCCGUGGUAACAGGUGUUCCCAGAAGCUUAUCGGGAGACGAAAACGAGACUCCGCCCGAUUACCCAUCACCCCCACCUCUGGCUUCAGCAGCCCAGCUGCCCUCUGCUGGCCCAGACAGCAGUCCUCAUAGUAACACAGGCACAGGUGCACAGGUCAAAGAGAAUAACACUGCCGGGCUGGAUUUACCUUCUCAAAGGAUUGGAACGGAAACCAACAGAUCCUCUACAGAUUUCCUCACCAACCAAGACCAGAAGUAGGCCCCGUCCAUCCCUCUUUCCCUUAAUCUCUCUACACGUCUCUCUGCUCAUAGGUCCACUGUGAUCAGUUCAGAAACAUCUGCCAGCUUCAUUAGCUGUACUCCACUCUUUAACUUGUUUCUCAAAUGUUUCAAGAGCAGAAACUCUUCUAAGACUGCUGUCUGCUAAAGAAGUACAAUGAAAGCGUCAAUGUACACAUUAUCGGAUCAACACCAAAAAAAACACGAAGGAAUCUUUUCUAUUAUUUGUUUUUAAUGCCACGAUCUUGAUGGCUGUUUCUCGGUGUUAAUGUGGUGUGUUCGAGGGUCAGAACUCCUGACGUAAUCAUAUGAAACUAAAUACUGUGCUAUGUCACAUUGAGAUUAGCAGUCAUUGAAAAACACUGUGUGUUGGUAUAAAUGUGUGUGUGUGUGUGUGUGUGUGUGUUAGAUUGACAAACUGUCAGCACAGCACUGAACGAAUAACCAGCUAAGAGGAGCCACGACUUCCUGAACCAAAAGUUUCAGCUUAAAAAAGAGGCUCUGUGGAAAGCUGACGGUCACGUGACAAUCGAAAGCUGGCACAUCGGUGGAAAAUACGACAGAUUGAACUAAAGCAUAGUUAUACAUUUAGCUGUAUUUAUAAAGUUCAGUAAAUAAAAUAUUGUUGGUUAAACUUUCACAGAUCAGCAGCUGAAAGUAGAAAAAUGUUUGUACACAAAAUGUUCUGAUUCGAUAAAAUAGAGAUUAUUUCCAACAUAUUCUAAAAAGAGUAUAUUUGAUUUCAAAUAAUGAAGAUGAUCACAAUCUUAAAAAGGUGAUAAAAUAUAAUUAAAUAAAACAGAUGUUUAGGUUAUAAAAGUCUAUUUAAACCUGGGGCUCACAGAAAUACAUGACAAUAUUAUACAAACAUAUAUUUUGAUGUAUCAAUUUAUUUAUCAGCAGUUGAUGAAAAAGCUCAGCGUGUUUGUACAAGAAUUAAAAAAAAAAGUAACAAGCCUAUGAAGCUAGAUUAAUCCUAUUUAGGUGGGAGCAAAAAAAAAAACACUUAACAGCUGAAACGAUGUGUUGAAGGAAGUGCCAAGUUUAGCAGAGGAAAUAAAAAAAAUAAAAAAAUCAGUGGAUGCAAGUUAAUGGGGUAUUUAAGAAGUAGGAAUUAUACUUUAAAAAGUCUUUUUUUUGGUUUGUUUUUUUGGUUUUGGUUGAUUUUUCUUGUUUCUUGUCCUGACAUUAUAAAGUUAAAAAAUAUCCUUUCAUUAUUAAUUAACAUUAUUUAUGAUCUGGUAUAAACAACUGUGUCUUAAAAUUCUGUAAUAUUGACUUUAGGACUUUUUACUUACUUACUUUUAAAAAAAGAAAAAAAAAAAGAAAAAAGAGGGUUUAGUACUUUUCUUUUUUCCUGUGGUAAUGUUUCAUCUGUUUUUCUUUCCCGGGGAGGAACAGGCCUUCACAUGAAUCUAACGGCGUCUCUG
ensembl:lncRNA